GACGAACGCUGGCGGCGUGCUUAACACAUGCAAGUCGAACGGAAAGGCUCCAGUUUGCUGGAGUACUAGAGUGGCGAAGGGGUGAGUAACAUGUGGGUGAUCUGCCCUGCACUUCGGGAUAUGCCUGGGAGACUGGGUAUAAUACCGGAUAGGACCGCACGAUGGUGUGUGUGGUGGGAAGGUUUUUCUGGUGUGGGAUGAGCUCGCGGACUAUCAGUUUGUUGGUGGGGUAAUGGACUACCACGACGGCGACGGGUAGCCGGACUGGGAGGGUGGACGGGCGCAUUGGGACUGAGAUACGGCCCAGACUCCUAAUGGAGGCAGCAGUGGGGAAUAUUGCACAAUGGGGGAAACCCUGAUGCAGCGACGCCGCGUGGGGGAUGAAGGCCUUCGGGUUGUGAACUCCUUUCGCGAGAGACGAAGCUUUUUGUGACGGUACCUGGAGAAGAAGCACCGGCUAACUACGUG
rnacentral:rRNA from 1 species